rnacentral:rRNA from 1 species
GACGGAGGAUGCAAGCGUUAUCCGGAAUUAUUGGGCGUAAAGCGUCCGCAGGUGGCUGUUCAAGUCUGCUGUCAAAGCGCAGAGCUUAACUCUGUACAGGCGGUGGAAACUGAAGAGCUAGAGUAUGGUAGGGGUAGAGGGAAUUCCCGGUGUAGCGGUGAAAUGCGUAGAUAUCGGGAAGAACAUCGGUGGCGAAGGCGCUCUGCUGGACCAUAACUGACACUCAGGGACGAAAGCUAGGGGAGCGAAUGGG